rnacentral:rRNA from 1 species
UACAGAGGGUGCAAGCGUUAAUCGGAAUUACUGGGCGUAAAGGGCGCGUAGGCGGUUUAGUAAGUUAUGUGUGAAAACUCUGGGCUUAACCUGGGACGUGCACAUAAUACUGAUAAACUAGAGUAGAGUAGAGGAAAGUGGAAUUUCCGGUGUAGCGGUGAAAAUGCGUAGAUAUCGGAAGGAACACCAGUGGCGAAGGCGGCUUCUGGGCUCAUACUGACGCUGAGGCGCGAAAGCUAGGGGAGCAAACAGG